UACGUAGGGAGCAAGCGUUGUCCGGAAUCAUUGGGCGUAAAGCGCGCGUAGGUGGCCCCAUAAGUCCGCUGUGAAAGUCAAAGGCUCAACCUUUGAAAGCCGGUGGAUACUGUGGGACUAGAGUACGGAAGAGGCGAGUGGAAUUCCUGGUGUAGCGGUGGAAUGCGCAGAUAUCAGGAAGAACACCAACGGCGAAGGCAGCUCGCUGGGACGGAACUGACGCUAAGGCGCGAAAGCGUGGGGAGCGAACAGG
rnacentral:rRNA from 1 species